UACGGGGGAGCAAGCGUUGUUCGGAUUUACUGGGCGUAAAGGGCGCGUAGGCGGCCAGCGCAAGUCAGUUGUGAAAUCUCCGGGCUUAACUCGGAACGGUCAACUGAUACUGCGCGGCUAGAGUGCGGAAGGGGCAACUGGAAUUCUCGGUGUAGCGGUGAAAUGCGUAGAUAUCGAGAGGAACACCUGCGGCGAAGGCGGGUUGCUGGGCCGACACUGACGCUGAUGCGCGAAAGCCAGGGGAGGCGAACGGG
rnacentral:rRNA from 1 species